CCCGAGGGGUAUGCCGCCACUCGACUUUUAGGCUCUAUAAGUCGAGAGGAAAGUCCGGACUCUAUAAGGCAGCGAUCCACUGGAAACAGUGGGCUUGGAUGAGCAAAAGCCUUCCAAGACGGAGAGUGUCACAGAAAACAUACCGCUUAACAGUUAUCGUUAAGCAAGGGUGAAAAGGCGGGGUAAGAGCCCACCGCAUGAAUGGUAACAUUCAUGGCAGGAAAAACCCAUCGCAGAGCAAGGCCAAGCAGGGACAUGGGUUGCCUUACCCAUCUCAUCAAAGCAUGAUGAGAACUCCCAGGUAGGCCGCACCGCUUUGCCAAAAGCGGAUCCCUUUAAAGUACAGGGAUAGACAGAUGGCGGCAAGUCCAGUAUCCUGGACUACAGAAUCCGGCUUAUUCCCCUCGGUAUUU
rnacentral:RNase_P_RNA from 2 species